ACACGGAAGGAAUUGUGGUCCUUGAAACCAUAUCAGUGGAUAUCCUCAUGUAUUAUAAAUCUCAUUGUUGUGAAAUUGACAAAUAAACAAAGGAAAAAGUUUCCAAAUAAGGAUCACAAGGUUUGGUACUUUCCGACCCAUGUAUCGCAAAAGAUUUUGUGUCAACCUUCUGAUGACACAAUGAAAGAUAUAGUAGAAGAUUAUUUUGGAAUUUACAGAUACACUGGCCCCCUUCAUGCUUGUGAGGAGAUUUACAUGCCCUUCAACCAUGGGAAAAACCACUGGUUGUGCUUGAAUGUAAACAUGGAAAAAUGGGUUGCCUAUCUAUUCGACUCCAGCAGAUGUAUUGGCACCGAUGAGGAUCGAAAAAAUCAAGCUACAUUA